UACGUAGGGUGCGAGCGUUGUCCGGAAUUAUUGGGCGUAAAGAGCUUGUAGGCGGUUUGUCGCGUCUGCCGUGAAAAUUCGAGGCUCAACCUCGAACUUGCGGUGGGUACGGGCAGACUAGAGUGUGGUAGGGGAGACUGGAAUUCCUGGUGUAGCGGUGAAAUGCGCAGAUAUCAGGAGGAACACCGAUGGCGAAGGCAGGUCUCUGGGCUGUAACUGACGCUGAGGAGCGAAAGCAUGGGGAGCGAACAGG
rnacentral:rRNA from 1 species